CCCUUAGAUGCUCUGGGCCGCACGCGCGCUACACUGGUCGAUGCAACGAGUUUCUUUCCUUGGCCGACAGGCCUGGGCAAUCUUUGAACAUCGAUCGUGAUCGGGAUAGAUUCUUGUAAUUUUUGAUCUUAAACGAGGAAUUCCUAGUAAACGCAAGUCAUCAGCUUGCAUUGAUUACGUCCCUGCCCUUUGUACACACCGCCCGUCGCACCUACCGAUUGAAUGGUCCGGUGAAAUCUCGGGACGGCGGCUUGGUCGCUUGCGUCCGACUGCUGAAACUUGAUUAAACCAUAUCAUUUAGAGGAAGGUGAANUCGUAGCA
rnacentral:rRNA from 1 species